ensembl:lncRNA
CUGGGAGACCAACCUUUGGCGCAACUGCUCGGGCCCAGCCAGUUACCAGGGCCAGCAUCGCCUCCAGGUCCCCCAGUGUCUGUGCGGAGAGGGUCUGUCAGCAGCUCAAAUGCCUUUCACACUGAUGGAAACCUGGCCCCUUAGCUGGACAGAGUCCAGUGUCCAGGAGUGACUGGGCUGGCAAGGGGCUCCUCCAAAGAUAAAAUUGUUUCCCAACUGCUUCCUGUGGGAGUCUUGGAAGGAGUCCUUGGUUUGAGGUGGGGAAGAUGGAACCAGGAAGUGAGAUCGGGCAAUCACGGAAGGCCCCUCAGUCAGGUGAUGGAGCUCGACUCUGGGAGAAAACGAGGUGGAUUCUUUACCAGCUGAGCCACAAGGGUAGCCUACUCCAGCAGAUCCCUUCUCUAGCAAAUCUUCCCAACCUGGGAAUUGAACUGGUCUCUCCUGCAUUGCAGGCAGAUUCUUUACCAGCUGACCUACCAGGGAAGCCCUUGUAUGCUGCUGCUGCUGCUGCUAAGUCGCUUUAGUCGUGACUGACUCUGUGCGACCCCAUAGACAGCAGCCCACCAGGCUCCGCCAUCCCUGGGAUUCUCCAGGCAAGAGUACUGGAGUGGGGUGCCAUUGCCUUCUCCAAGCCCUUGUAUGAAUGACACCAAAAGAUUAGAAAUAAGUGCAAGUCGUGAAAAGUGAAAGUGUUAGUCGCUCAGUCAUGCCCAUGUCUUUGUGACCCCAUGGAUUGUAGCCCACCUAGCCCCUCUGUCCAUGGAAUUCUCCAGGCAAGAAUCCCGGAAUGGGUUGCCAUUCUCUUCUCCAGGGGAUCUUCCCAACCCAGGGAUCGAACCCGGGUCUCCUGAAUUGCAGGCAGAUUCUUUACCAUCUGAGCCACCAGGGAAGCUUUGGAAGGAGAGGAAAAAAGAAAUCAAGAGAAAGUGAAAGUUGGGGAGGCCCAAGAAAAGAUCUGGAGUGGGGAUUGGGGUGGGGCGGUCCCCACAGCUCAGGGGUGACAUAGAGUAGGUUGGGAACCAUGAUCACCUGGAAUUGAGGGUGUAACUCCACGGACGGACACUUUCAGCCUCCUGUCUUGGCUCUCCCUUGGCCUGACGUUCCCCCUGUCCUUGCAUGAGUGAGUCCCAACAUUUUGUCAAGAUUGAAUUCAGAUGCCUGCUUCUCCAGGAAGCCUACCCUCCUCCCAGCCCUGAGGCUUCUGGCCUGACCCUAAGGGCCUGUGCACCCAGCGUUAGUGAGCAUGUCAGGGCUGAUGGUGUUAGGGCCCAUGCCUACUGUGUCACCAGGCCCAGGCCCAGCUGGCUGGCGAAUGUGCUGAGAAUGUAAGUUGGGUGUGUGCCAGGCUGCCUGGGUUCAAACCUCAGUGCAGUGACUACUGAUGGUGUGUGGAUGACUGUUAUGAGCGGGUGAGUGCAGGCAGGAUGGGACAGCCUAGUGAGGCAAAGGGAUGAAGGGAUUGCACUGUCUCCAGGUGGCCUGGCUCCACAUGGGCAGAAAUGAGUGCAGCUUGAGCCACCUGUUUGACUGUCAGUUGCUUGAGCCAGGGAAUGCCUGGUUCCCAGUAACACCAUUUCAGCACUGGCCUGGGAACCUGUCAGCUUCUGCCACCACCCUCGCCCUCCCCUAGCAUCACUUCUCUGGGGAAAGUGGCCCAGGUCAGAUGAGGGUGAGACACCCCCAUCCCCCUCUGCUCUACAUGCUCGCAUCUUCCUUCCCAGGUUUGUUGGCCGCCUACCCCCCUGCACCCCUACUGCCAUUGUUCCAGGUUCCAGGUAGAGCCCUUUUGACUCCACCUUCCCUGGUGGCUCAGACGGUAAAGAAUCUGCCUGCAACACAGGAGACUGGUGUUCAAUCCCUGGGUUGGGAAGAUCCCCGGAAAAAGGAAAAGACAACCCACUCCAGUAUUCUUGCCUGGAAAAUCCCAUGGACAGAGGAGCCUGGCAAGCUACAGUCCACAGGGUCACAAAGAGUUGGACAUGACUGAGCGACUAAUGAUGCCCUUUCGAAAGGGGCACUUGGGCUGCCAGGAGGCCUGGUGUGGUUUCUUUCCCUGGUGGGAAGAGGAGGGGACGACCACACUGUUUGCUGGGUAUUGGCAGUGUCCGUAUGACAGGUUUGUGAUGCUGAAUCCCAGUGGUGCCUUCAGAGUUCCAAUCCCUGGUCACAGGCGCCAAGGUGGGCUAGGGGGGAGGGUGGCUUCCAGGGAAGAAUUUUAGGCUGAGGAACUAAGGCCAGGCAGCUGGUCUGGCCAGGGCAAGUCAUCCCAGGUCAUCUCAUGGAGUUUGGGGUUUUAAAUGCCAUCUGCAUCCCUCACCACAGUGGGGACCCUCCCCUUUGCCCAGCCCAGAUGUCUAACAGACUCAAACAGCUCUCCAUGUCCCCAGCUAGCUCAGCAACUCCACCCUUUCCAGACCAGAAGCCAAGGUAACCCCAACGCUUCCGCUCCCAUCCCCGAAGGCCACCAGCAUGGGGACUGGGCCUCCAGUCACCUGGCACCACCACCUCCGCUGCCCCUCCCCCAGCCACAGGCCACCAGCCUCUGUUGCUGGGUCCUAAGGCAACUGAUGUCCCCUGCAAGCCCCUGUUCUCCAGCCCCUAGAGAGAUCUUUAGAGAAGGUAAGGCAGGUCACCUGGCUCCACUGCUCAAGACCCUCCAACAGUUCCCACUUCACUUAGCAUCCUGCCUUAGGCCUGCAAGUCUAGGACCACCCGUUCUGUUUCCACUCUGCCCACUCUCAGGCUUGGCAGGACUGCCGUCCAAAGCUGAGUGCUCUUGGCUCAACCAAAUCUGAUCCAUGAUUCCAUUUGUUCCAGAUUGUUCCCA